rnacentral:rRNA from 1 species
UGUUGUGAUGGAUGUUCCGCCCAAUAAUUUACUUUUAUUAUGUUGGUGUAUAUCUGGUUUAAUAUUAUUGUUUAGUGAUGUAGUUUGUGUAGAGUUAGUUAAGCCAAGUCAAUGUGCUGCUUAUAAAAGUUUUCAUGCGUUACAUUUAUAAUAUAUUCAUUGUAAUUGUGAAUAAAUUUAGGACUUAAUAGUAAUAUUUAAUUAGUUUGUUGAUGUGAAAUAA